rnacentral:rRNA from 1 species
AGCGAACGCUGGCGGCAGGCCUAACACAUGCAAGUCGAACGAACUCUUCGGAGUUAGUGGCGGACGGGUGAGUAACACGUGGGAACGUGCCUUUAGGUUCGGAAUAACUCAGGGAAACUUGUGCUAAUACCGAAUGUGCCCUUCGGGGGAAAGAUUUAUCGCCUUUAGAGCGGCCCGCGUCUGAUUAGCUAGUUGGUGAGGUAAAGGCUCACCAAGGCGACGAUCAGUAGCUGGUCUGAGAGGUUGAUCAGCCACAUUGGGACUGAGACACGGCCCAAACUCCUACGGGAGGCAGCAGUGGGGAAUCUUGCGCAAUGGGCGAAAGCCUGACGCAGCCAUGCCGCGUGAAUGAUGAAGGUCUUAGGAUUGUAAAAUUCUUUCACCGGGGACGAUAAUGACGGUACCCGGAGAAGAAGCCCCGGCUAACUUCGUG